GUAGGUAGGCUGUAGGAGGACCAUAGCUACCUCUAAAUCUUUACAGAAGAUUUUGAAUGUGGCUUUUGUUGCAUAGAAAAUAAAUAAAAUAAAAUAAAUCUCUACAGAAGACUGGCAAGAGAUUGGUGCAUAUUUAAUAGCAAACAGUGGGAUGCUUUGAAAGGGAUGGAUAACAUAGAACAUUGAACAGCAAGAGCUUUAGUGGGGUUUAGGUUUUAGUAGUUGUCCAGCCAAGACUCUGCCUGUUACUGAAGCUAGGGAUAUGUGGAGUGACCAAUUUACAUCAGUCAUAGUAGAGAAGUAAUUGCUUUUAUCUGACAAAAGCAGUCUGGACCCAGUCAACAACAUGCUGAUGCUACAGUCCCUAUUCUUGAUGUUUUAUUGGAAAGUGGUAAGACUUCUUUUUCUCUCUGAGCUGGUACCACCAAUUUGCAGUGGUAUGUUCUAGAAGCAAAUCAUAUUUCAGAGCUCUUUGGUUGUGUAAUUUUUUUCAAUAGGCAUGAUGAGUAUUCUGGAAGCUGUAUCAUGGUGCCUUUUGCUUGGCUGUGUGUCAUUACUAUAAUGCAUAGGUUUUUUACUUGUUUGUGUGAUUGUUUUUAUUCCAAAGACUGCCAUCCAGGGCCAUGCAGCAAACAAGCAACAGGGAAAUAUCCCACUAUGCAAUCCUAUUUUGAGAUGAUAUUUAGGAUGAGAGAACAUGCAUUAGUUACCUACCAGCUUGACAGGAAUGGAUUUCCAAAUCUGACACACCAUAGCCUGAAUUCUCACCAGUUUGCUCCUGGAAAGGCCCGCUCAUGCAGCAUGAGCCCCUGCCACUCUUCUAAAUAAGCUUCCAGGCAUUACCUGCAUGCUGUGUUCCUGUGGUGGGAUGGCAGUAAUCUCUGCUAAGAUAAACGGGAGCUUCUGUGGAUAAAGCAUAAACGCAGUGAAGUGUGUGUGGCUGGAAGAUUUAAUGCCUCUACAGUGCUUAGAUACAAGUUGAGCUUGGAAUUCCAGAGGUAGAGCACUGCUGAUUGGAGACAUAUUAAGUAAAAUGUACUGUGGAAAUGAGAUAAAACCUUUAUUCUUGCUAAUGAUUGUCAUUGUAUGUAUUCAGGUGUCCAACAAAGGAUUUUAGAAUAAAGUGUGCCUUUAAAGUUUCCCACCUUCUUAAAGCUCCCAAUGAAUUGCAAAGGGCCUGUUUGGAAUGGACUGUAUUAAAUCUACUUCAAAUGAAAACCUUUACACUGAGUGAAAUAUGGUUCAACAAUUCUUAACACAAGGCCUUUACACUUGUGUAGCCCAUUUUGGUUUGGCCUAUCUUGUCACUAGAAUGCUGUCUGAGCUUGGAUUAUUUAUGCCCUAAGAUUUACUUAAAAUUGAAGGGAGUAUUUCCAUUCAUCAACACUAGUUUUGAUAGAUGCUUAAAAGGUGCAGUGAGGUUGAUGAUCCUGAAUACACAAAUUAUUGAUCACCACAUCAAGUUGGAUUUCCCUAAAGAUGUAUGGCUUUCUGACCUUGUGAUUUAC
rnacentral:lncRNA from 1 species